UGGCCCAGAUCGUUUACCGUGAAAAAAUUAGAGUGUUCAAAGCAGGCAGAUCCAAUUUUCUGCCACCGAAUACAUUAGCAUGGGAUAAUGGAAUAGGACCCUGUCCUCCUAUUUUCAGUUGGUUUUGGCAGCGCGAGGACUAGGGUAA
rnacentral:rRNA from 1 species